UGGGGUUAGAAGAGUGACGAUCGGGAAGUGGACGCUAGUGUGUGAGCCAAAGGAAGUGGGAAUAAAGGGUCAAAGCCAGAAGUGUCAAGAACCCAUUUCCAGCCGUGGAGAGAAUCGGGUGUUAGAGAUCUGAGUGCAGAGGACAAGACCGGUGUCUCGCAGGACCAAAAACUUCCCUAAGCCUCAGGGCUCACUGAUCACCCAGACCUGCUCACCUGUGGAACAGAACAAAGAGACCUGGACGAUGGAGAAGGAGGAGACAGUAGCUAAGGAUCCAGAUACACAAGCUGGCUAUUCAUUGUUCUUCAAAGAGAAAAUCAAAGAAGAGAAACAGAAGGACAUGUCCCAGGGUCUGUUGACAUUCAGGGAUGUGGCUGUGAACUUCUCUCAGGAGGAGUGGGAAUACCUGAACUCUGCUCAGAGGGCUUUAUACAUUGAUGUGAUGUUGGAGAAUUACAGCAACCUGGUCUCUGUUGAGAACUACUGCAUAUGUGAAACUGUCCUUCCAACUGUGAAGACUGAAAAGGACUCUUGUCAGGGUAAUGAGCUUGGCGAAAUGCUUCGUGGUCCCUCCAAUUGUGUACUUUAUAAAAGAAGUGACACUACAGAAACCUCUAAUAACUACAGAUACUGUAAGGACAGGGAUGCCUCUGUUGACUCAUCAAACCCAGAUCAACAUACAAGCACGCACACUGGAGAAGAACCUUGCGCAUCUAAAAACUGUGAGAAAUCUUUCAGUUUGUGUUCCAACAUUAGGGAAGAUCAAAGACUCUACACUGCAAAGAAAGAGUACAAGCAGGAUGAAUAUGAUGACCGUUUCAGCUCUACAUAUAGUCUCAUGCAACAGACAGUUAACAUGGGAGAGAAACCAUAUCAGUGUGGACACUGCAGGAGAUACUUCAGUACUGCCUCAAGCUUUAGCAUACAUAAGAGAAUUCAUACUGGAGAGAAACCUUACAAGUGCAAUGUUUGUGAAAAAUCCUUUAACAAGUGCACAAAUCUUAAAACACAUCAAAGACUUCAUACUGGAGAGAAACCUUACAAAUGUAAAGAAUGUGGAAAGUCAUUUGCGCAGAUAUCUGCACUUAAGAGUCAUCAGAGAAGGCACACUGGAGAGAAGCCUUACAAGUGUAAGGAGUGUGACAGAUCCUUUGCCCACUGUGCAUCAUUAAGAUGGCAUCAGAAUAUUCAUUCUCCUGAGGCACAUUAUGAAUGCAAAGAAUGUGGCAAGUCCUUUUUUGAAUUAUCACGUCUUAAAAGGCAUCACAGAAUCCACACUGGUGAAAAACCUUACAAAUGUGAGGUAUGUGAGAAAUCUUUUACUAUAAAUUCAACUCUUAAAACUCAUCAGAAAAUUCAUACUGGAGAGAAACCUUACAAAUGUAGUGAAUGUGAUAAAUCUUUUACCAAGUGCUCACAUCUUCAAAGACAUCAGAGUGUUCAUAACCGAGAGAGACCUUACAAAUGCAAGGAAUGUGGGAAAUCUUUUACUAAGUGCUUAACUCUUCAAACACAUCAGAAAGUUCAUAAUGUAGAGAAACCUUAUACAUGUAUGGAAUGUAACAAAUCCUUUGCCCAGGUCUCACAUCUUAGAACACAUCAGCGAGUUCAUACUGGAGAGAGACCUAAUAGAUGUAAGGAAUGUGAUAAAUCUUUUCGUGACAGCUCAACACUUAGAGUACAUCAGAAAAUACAUACUGGAGAGAGACCUUACAAAUGUUUGGAAUGUGACAAAUCAUUUACUUGGCACCCACAUCUAAGAAGACAUCAGAGAGUUCAUACUGGAGAGAAAUCACACAAGUGCAAAGAGUGUGAUAAGUGCUUUCUCUGGAUUUCUAGUCUUAGAAUACAUCAGAAAAUUCAUGCUGGAGAGAGACCUUAUCAAUGUAAGGAAUGUGGCAAAUCUUUUAUCUGGUACUCAAAUCUUAGAGUACAUCAGAAUAUUCAUACUGCAGAGAAACCUUACAAAUGUAUGAAACGUGACAAAUCCUUUACCCAGUAUGUUUAUCUUAGAACACAUCAGAGAGUUCAUACUGGAGAGAGACCUUACAGAUGUAUGAAAUGUGACAAAUCUUUUACUAGAGCCUCAACUCUCAGAGCACAUCAGAAAAUUCAUACUAGAGAGAAACUUUACAACAGCAAAGACUGUGAUAUAUCUUUUCCCCAGGCCCCACAUAUGAGAACAUAUCAGAGAGUUCAUACUGCAGAGAGACCUUACAGAUGCAAGGAAUGUGGCAAAUCCUUUACUCAGUGCUCAACUCUAAGAGAUCAUCAGAAAACUCAUACUGGAGAGAAACCUUAUAAAUGCAAAGACUGUGACAUAUCCUUUAGGUGGGUUUCAAAUCUUAGAAGACAUCAGAAAAUUCAUACUGGAGAGAAACCUUACCAAUGCCAGGAAUGUAAGAAAUCGUUUAUUAGGUGCUCCUAUCUUAGAGACCAUCAGAAAAUUCACACUGGAGAGAAACCUCACAAAUGCAAAGACUGUGACAUAUCCUUUAUGUGGAUUUCAAGUCUUAGAAGACAUCAGAAAAUUCAUAUUGAAGAAAAACAUACCAUUGUAAAUAAUGUAACAUAACACUUGUCUGGUAAUCCCUGCUUAAAUCACAACAGGAGAAGUAAUAGAAAUAUAAAGAUAACACACUUGUCAAAGCUUUUAGUGAAGACUCAAAUAUCACAAAAUGUAUUAGAGUUUAUAUUAAAAUAAAAUUCUCAGCUCUCUGCUCCCAAACCCCGUGGGAGAGAGACCUCACCGCCUGAUCAGGUGGGCACUCCUGAGGCUGCAGAGCGGAGGAGACCACCAACACUGCCCACCCCUGCCCACAUCCCUGGCCCAAGAGGCAACUGUAUAAGGCCUCUGGGUUCCCGUAGGGGAGGGCCCGGGAGCGGCAGGACCCCUGCGCCUGAGACACUGCCGGAACCUGAAGGAAACAGACCGGAUAAACAGUUCUCUGCACCCAAAUCCCGUGGGAGGGAGAGCUGAACCUUCAGAGAGGCAGACACGCCUGGGAAACCAGAAGAGACUGCACUCUGUGCACAUCCAGGCGCCAGAGGAAAACACCAAACGCCAUCUGGAACCCUGGUGCACGGAGGCUCCCGGAAAGAGCUGCGCAGAUCUUCCCGGUUGCUGCCACAGCGGAGAGGACUUAGGCAGUACCCCACGAGCAAACUUGAGCCUUGGAACUGCAGGUAGGACCAACUUUUCCCCUGCAAGAAACCUGCCUGGUGAACUCAGGACACACAGAGGCAAAAUUCCUCUAAGGCCGGGCACUUCCUGUGUUUACCGGAAGUCCCACACCGGCGGAUCCCGGACCGCAGCAGCUCUCUGCUCCCAAACCCCGUGGGAGAGAGACCUCACCGCCUGAUCAGGUGGGCACUCCUGAGGCUGCAGAGCGGAGGAGACCACCAACACUGCCCACCCCUGCCCACAUCCCUGGCCCAAGAGGCAACUGUAUAAGGCCUCUGGGUUCCCAUAGGGGAGGGCCCGGGAGCGGCAGGACCCCUGAGUCUGAGACACUGCCGGAACCUGAAGGAAACAGACCGGAUAAACAGUUCUCUGCAACCAAAUCCCGUGGGAGGGAGAGCUGAACCUUCAGACAGGCGGACACGCCUGGGAAACCAGAAGAGACUGCACUCUGUGCACAUCCAGGCGCCAGAGGAAAACACCAAACGCCAUCUGAAACCCUGGUGCACGGAGGCUCCCAGAAGGAGCAGCACAGAUUUUCCCGGUUGCUGCCACAGCGGAGAGGACUUAGGCAGUACCCCACGAGCAAACUUGAGCCUUGGAACCACAGGUAGGACCAACUUUUCCCCUGCAAGAAACCUGCCUGGUGAACUCAAGACACAGGCCCACAGGAACAGCUGAAGACCUGUAGAGAGGAAAAACUACACGCCCGAAAGCAGAACACUCUGUCCCCAUAACUAGCUGAAAGAAAACAGGAAAACAGGUCUACAGCACUCCUGACACACAGGCUUAUAAGACAGUCUAGCCACGGUCAGAAAUAGCAGAACAAAGUAACACUAGAGAUAAUCUGAUGGCGAGAGGCAAGCGCAGGAACCCAAGCAACAGAAACCAAGACUACAUGGCAUCAUCGGAGCCCAAUUCUCCCACCAAAGCAAACACGGAAUAUCCAAACACACCAGAAAAGCAAGAUCUAGUUUCAAAAUCAUAUUUGAUCAUGAUGCUGGAGGACUUCAAGAAAGACAUAAAGAACUCCCUUAGAGAACAAGUAGAAGCCUACAGAGAGGAAUCGCAAAAAUCCCUGAAAGAAUUCCAGGAAAACACAAUCAAACAGUUGAAGGAAUUAAAAAUGGAAAUAGAAGCAAUCAAGAAAGAACACAUGGAAACAACCCUGGACAUAGAAAAUCAAAAGAAGAGACAAGGAGCUGUAGAUACAAGCUUCACCAACAGAAUUCAAGAGAUGGCAGAGAGAAUCUCGGGAGCAGAAGAUUCCAUAGAAAUCAUUGACUCAACUGUCAAAGAUAAUGUAAAGCGGAAAAAGCUACUGGUCCAAAACAUACAGGAAAUCCAGGACUCAAUGAGAAGAUCAAACCUAAGGAUAAUAGGUAUAGAAGAGAGUGAAGACUCCCAGCUCAAAGGACCAGUAAAUAUCUUCAACAAAAUCAUAGAAGAAAACUUCCCUAACCUAAAAAAAGAGAUACCCAUAGGCAUACAAGAAGCCUACAGAACUCCAAAUAGAUUGGACCAGAAAAGAAACACCUCCCGUCACAUAAUUGUCAAAACACCAAACGCACAAAAUAAAGAAAGAAUAUUAAAAGCAGUAAGGGAAAAAGGUCAAGUAACAUAUAAAGGCAGACCUAUCAGAAUCACACCAGACUUCUCGCCAGAAACUAUGAAGUCCAGAAGAUCCUGGACAGAUGUCAUACAGACCCUAAGAGAACACAAAUGCCAGCCCAGGUUACUGUAUCCUGCAAAACUCUCAAUUAACAUAGAUGGAGAAACCAAGAUAUUCCAUGACAAAACCAAAUUUACACAAUAUCUUUCUACAAGUCCAGCACUACAAAGGAUAAUAAAGGGUAAAGCCCAACAUAAGGAGGCAAGCUAUACCCUAGAAGCAAGAAACUAAUCAUCUUGGCAACAAAACAAAGAGAAUGAAAGCACACAAACAUAACCUCACUUCCAAAUAUGAAUAUAACGGGAAGCAAUAAUCACCAUUCCUUAAUAUCUCUCAAUAUCAAUGGCCUCAACUCCCCAAUAAAAAGACAUAGAUUAACAAACUGGAUACGCAACGAGGACCCUGCAU